rfam:Chaetomium thermophilum var. thermophilum DSM 1495 unplaced genomic scaffold scf7180000011814, whole genome shotgun sequence.
CGUCUCCCCCGACUCGACACAACAUCCUGCAGCGAUGUUGUGUGACGACCUGCAGUGUCAGUUGGCGGAGGCG